GACGAACGCUGGCGGCGUGCUUAACACAUGCAAGUCGAACGGAAAGGCCCUGCUUUUGUGGGGUGCUCGAGUGGCGAACGGGUGAGUAACACGUGAGUAACCUGCCCUUGACUUUGGGGUAACUUCAGGAAACUGGGGCUAAUACCGGAUAUGAGCUCCUGCUGCAUGGUGGGGGUUGGAAAGUUUCGGCGGUUGGGGAUGGACUCGCGGCUUAUCAGCUUGUUGGUGGGGUAGUGGCUUACCAAGGCUUUGACGGGUAGCCGGCCUGGGAGGGUGACCGGCCACAUGGGGACUGAGAUACGGCCCAGACUCCUACGGGAGGCAGCAGUGGGGAAUAUUGCGCAAUGGGCGGAAGCCUGAUGCAGCAACGCCGCGUGCGGGAUGCCGGCCUUCGGGUUGUAAACCGCUGUCGCCUGUGACGAAGCGGGAGUGACGGUAAUGGGUAAAGAAGCACCGGCUAACUACGUG
rnacentral:rRNA from 1 species